rnacentral:rRNA from 1 species
AUUGAACGCUGGCGGCAGGCCUAACACAUGCAAGUCGAACGGUAGCACAGAGAGCUUGCUCUCGGGUGACGAGUGGCGGACGGGUGAGUAACGUCUGGGAAACUGCCCGAUGGAGGGGGAUAACUACUGGAAACGGUAGCUAAUACCGCAUAACGUCGCAAGAACAAAGUGGGGGACCUUCGGGCCUCACACCAUCGGAAGUGCCCAGAUGGGAUUAGCUAGUAGGUGGGGUAAUGGCUCACCUAGGCGACGAUCCCUAGCUGGUCUGAGAGGAUGACCAGCCACACUGGAACUGAGACACGGUCCAGACUCCUACGGGAGGCAGCAGUGGGGAAUAUUGCACAAUGGGCGCAAGCCUGAUGCAGCCAUGCCGCGUGUAUGAAGAAGGCCUUCGGGUUGUAAAGUACUUUCAGCGGGGAGGAAGGCGGUGAAGUUAACAGCUUCACCGAUUGACGUUACCCGCAGAAGAAGCACCGGCUAACUCCGUGCCAGCAGCCGCAGUAA